CGGACCCACCUGAUUCCAUGCCGAACUCAGAAGUGAAACGCAAUAGCGCCGAUGGUAGUGUGGGGUUUCCCCAUGUGAGAGUAGGACAUCGCCAGGC
rnacentral:rRNA from 1 species